GCAGGCUGCAACCCGCCCUGCAUGAAGCUGGAAUCGCUAGUAAUCGCGGAUCAGAAUGCCGCGGUGAAUACGUUCCCGGGUCUUGUACACACCGCCCGUCACACCAUGGGAGUCGGAAACGCCCGAAGCCAGUGACCCAACCGUAAGGAGGGAGCUGUCGAAGGCGGGACUGGUAACUGGGGGUGAAGUCGUAACAAGGUAAC
rnacentral:rRNA from 1 species